GACAGAGGGUGCAACCGUUGUUCGGAAUUACUGGGCGUAAAGCGCGUGUAGGCGGCUAUGUAAGUCGGGCGUGAAAUCCCACGGCUCAACCGUGGAAGUGCACCCGAAACUGCGUAGCUAGAGUCCUGGAGAGGAAGGUGGAAUGCUUGGUGUAGAGGUGAAAUUCGUAGAUAUCAAGCGGAACACCGGUGGCGAAGGCGGCCUUCUGGACAGUGACUGACACUGAGACGCGAAAGCGUGGGGAGCAAACGGG
rnacentral:rRNA from 1 species